UACGUAGGCAGCAAGCGUUGUUCGGAAUUACUGGGCGUAAAGAGUGUGUAGGCGGUGCUCUAAGUUCGGUGUGAAAUCUCCCGGCUCAACUGGGAGGGUGCGCCGAAGACUGGCGGGCUUGAAUCCGGGAGAGGGAUGCGGAAUUCCAGGUGUAGCGGUGAAAUGCGUAGAUAUCUGGAGGAACACCGGUGGCGAAGGCGGCAUCCUGGACCGGCAUUGACGCUGAGGCGCGAAAGCCAGGGGAGCAAACGGG
rnacentral:rRNA from 1 species